rnacentral:lncRNA from 1 species
GCUUUUUUUUCCCUUGAUAAUAUAUUCUAAAUCAGUUAGCUGAAAAAGAAAAUAUUAUACAAAUGAAUUUGUUUUGGCAAUGCACUGGGAGCUCUUCAUUUGGUACAUGGCCCUCUUUGUUAAUCAACACAAGUUCCAUAUUUUCAUUAAGAAUUUGUAUUUCUUCAUAAUUGUACUAAAUUGCAACACAGCUACCUUUCCAUGAUGCACCUCACACCAAUGAAGCUCCUCUCUCAAGAGCAUGAUGAUGUUGAUUGUUGGUUUUUGUCUUACAGGAAAGUUCAAGAAGUACAUGUUUUACACAUAUGGAAGUAUGUAUCUUUCUUUAGCUCCUGGCCAUUUGAGGAUAGUUUGAUUUCAAGGUCAUUUCUGUUUUAGUCAGCUUUUUCAUCACUGUGACCAGAAGACCCAUCAAGAACACCAUAGAGGAGGAAAAGUUUUUUGGGGGCUCACAGUUUCAAAGGUCUUUAUCCAUAAAUGGCUGAUUCUACUGCCCUGGGCCCAGGGUGAGAUAGAACAUCACCACCAAAGAGUGUGGCAGAGGAAAGCAACUCAGGACACGAUCACCAGCAAACAGAGAGAGACUAUUCUGCUCAACAAGGACAAAAUAUCAACCCCAAAGACAUGUCCUGAGUGACCCUCUUUCUCCAGCCACACACUACGUGUUCGUAAUUACCACCCAGUUAAUUCCUAUUGGAGGAUCAAUGCACUGAUUGGGUUAAGGCUUUCUUGACCCAAUCAUUUCACCUGUAAGCUUUCUUGCAUUGUCUCACACAUGAGCUUCUGGGGGACACACCAUAUCUGAACUGUAACAAGGUCCUUCUCUUCAACAGAAGUUGUAUUUGUUUGUUUUAUAUUAUGGAGGCAUAGGCUGUACUAUUUAUCGUUGUUUUCCAAAUGUCUAGCAGAGCUUGAGGAAUUAGUAGGAAUUUCAUGGUGUACUCCAUGAAUGUAUGAAGAUCGUGUUUUUCAUUCUCAUAAUCCUGUUUUUUAUGUAGGAGCUAUCUAUCCUUGCUGAUCUAGAUCACAGUGAUUAAGAACAAGAGUUUUGGCAUCAAGCAAGCCUAGAUUAACUAUUGACUUUUGUGAAGUUACUAAACACUCCUGUAAACCUCAACCUCUACAUCCAAAAAUUGAUAAAUGGUGUGCUUCAUAUAAAGCCCUUUGAAGUGUUUGGCACAUAAUAAACUCAUGAUAGAUAGGCUUUAUUAUGAGCAGUGGAUUUUAUAGGACAUUUGCUUGCCUUGUUGCAUACAAAAAUCUACUUCUAUGAAAUACAGAGCAUCCAAACGAGUCAGAGUCCCCCCCCCCAUUUUCUGUGUUACAUAAAAAGAGCAGUCCCUUCCUGAUCCCAAGCUAUUAUUUUAUUCUUUAAUGAAGACCUCUUUGUAUCUCUCUGGAGCAAUGAAUAAAGGUCCCAUUAAGAGAUUAUAUAUAUGACGAACUGUACUGUUUCUUGGAAAAAGACAUGAUGGGUGAAGAGAAAUUUGAGUCCUACUGUGUUAAAGAUAAAGGUGAAAGGUCAUUCUGAAUAUGAUGCUUCCAGCAAGUCAGUCAGCCCCCACACUGAGUUCUAGGGUAUAGCCCUUAAAGAAGAAUGAACAAAUACCAGUAAGUGGAUGGAGUUAGAGAAGAUAAUGCUAAGCGAAGCUAGCCAAUCCCCCCCAAAAACAAAUGCCAAAUGUUUU